rnacentral:rRNA from 1 species
CUUUUAAAUAUCUUAGCGGCGGACGGGUGAGUAACGUGUGGGCAACCUGCCUCAUACAGAGGGAUAAUCAUGUGAAAACGUGACUAAUACCGCAUGUCAUUUGUUGAAGGCAUCUUCGACAAAGAAAAGGAGCAAUCCGGUAUGAGAUGGGCCCGCAUCUGAUUAGCUAGUUGGUGAGAUAACAGCCCACCAAGGCGACGAUCAGUAGCCGACCUGAGAGGGUGAUCGGCCACAUUGGGACUGAGACACGGCCCAAACUCC